rnacentral:rRNA from 1 species
CACGUAGGGUGCGAGCGUUGUCCGGAAUUAUUGGGCGUAAAGAGCUCGUAGGCGGUGUGUCGCGUCGGCCGUGAAAACUUGGGGCUUAACUCUGAGCUUGCGGUCGAUACGGGCAUCACUGGAGUUCGGCAGGGGAGACUGGAAUUCCUGGUGUAGCGGUGAAAUGCGCAGAUAUCAGGAGGAACACCGGUGGCGAAGGCGGGUCUCUGGGCCGUAACUGACGCUGAGGCGCGAAAGCGUGGGGAGCAAACAGG